AAUCAGUUUUACUUUGGACAUCAUUUACGGAAGUCGUACAUCGUUUGGUUGACAGUUUUCUUCACUCUGUUCAUGUUUGUUGCAACCAUUUUUGUCAUAUUCUAUUUGCUGAAAUUAUUUGGUGACAAUGCCGAAAACUGGCCGAAAAGACGUCGCAAAUACCGAAAACUACCCAGAAAAUCCAUGCGUUAAACGUCCUCGUAAAAAAGAGAAUUUCUCCGAAGUGAAAGUUUGUUUGACAAAGCCCAGCAAAGAGAUGUUGCAAAAAUGUUCAAAUUAUUACGAAUUCUUUAAAGAUUAAAAAAAUUGAUUAUGUUUCGGUUUAUUUCGAACAAU